rnacentral:rRNA from 1 species
GACGAACGCUGGCGGCGUGCUUAACACAUGCGAGUCGAACGCUGAAGCUCAGCUUUUGUUGGGUGGAUGAGUGGCGAACGGGUGAGUAACACGUGAGUAACCUGCCCCCUUCUUUGGGAUAACGCCCGGAAACGGGUGCUAAUACUGGAUAUUCACUGGUCUUCGCAUGGGGGUUGGUGGAAAGGGUUUUUCUGGUGGGGGAUGGGCUCGCGGCCUAUCAGCUUGUUGGUGGGGUGAUGGCCUACCAAGGCUUUGACGGGUAGCCGGCCUGAGAGGGUGACCGGUCACAUUGGGACUGAGAUACGGCCCAGACUCCUACGGGAGGCAGCAGUGGGGAAUAUUGCACAAUGGGCGCAAGCCUGAUGCAGCGACGCCGCGUGAGGGAUGGGGGCCUUCGGGUUGUGAACCUCUUUCGCUCAUGGUCAAGCCGCAACAAUGGUUGUGGUGAGGGUAGUGGGUAAAGAAGCGCCGGCUAACUACGUG